AGAGUUUGAUCCUGGCUCAGAUUGAACGCUGGCGGCAUGCCUUACACAUGCAAGUCGAACGGUAACGCGGGGCAACCUGGCGACGAGUGGCGAACGGGUGAGUAAUGCAUGGGAAUCUGCCUGGUAGUGGGGGACAACGUUUCGAAAGAGACGCUAAUACCGCAUACGCCCUACGGGGAAAGGGGGGAUCUUCGGACCUCUCGCUAUCAGAUGAGCCCAUGUCAGAUUAGCUUGUUGGUGAGGUAAAGGCUCACCAAGGCGACGAUCUGUAACUGGUCUGAGAGGAUGAUCAGUCACACUGGAACUGAGACACGGUCCAGACUCCUACGGGAGGCAGCAGUGGGGAAUAUUGGACAAUGGGGGCAACCCUGAUCCAGCCAUGCCGCGUGUGUGAAGAAGGCCUUAGGGUUGUAAAGCACUUUCAGUGGGGAGAAAGGUAAUUCACCUAAUACGUGAGUUAAUUGAUGUUGCCCACAGAAGAAGCACCGGCUAACUCCGUG
rnacentral:rRNA from 1 species